AUUGAACGCUGGCGGCAUGCUUUACACAUGCAAGUCGAACGGUAACAGGCCGCAAGGUGCUGACGAGUGGCGAACGGGUGAGUAAUGCAUCGGAACGUGCCCAGUCGUGGGGGAUAACUACUCGAAAGAGUAGCUAAUACCGCAUACGAUCUAUGGAUGAAAGCGGGGGACCGUAAGGCCUCGCGCGAUUGGAGCGGCCGAUGUCAGAUUAGGUAGUUGGUGGGGUAAAGGCUCACCAAGACAACGAUCUGUAGCUGGUCUGAGAGGACGACCAGCCACACUGGGACUGAGACACGGCCCAGACUCCUACGGGAGGCAGCAGUGGGGAAUUUUGGACAAUGGGCGCAAGCCUGAUCCAGCAAUGCCGCGUGCAGGAAGAAGGCCUUCGGGUUGUAAACUGCUUUUGUACGGAACGAAACGGCUCUGGUUAAUACCCGGGGCUAAUGACGGUACCGUAAGAAUAAGCACCGGCUAACUACGUG
rnacentral:rRNA from 1 species